UUGCUAUGAUGAAACUGUGUCCACUGUGAUGGUUAGAGCCUAUCACUCUUCUCUGACCUUUCAGACGAACUGGGACACAUCUGAGCUC